rnacentral:rRNA from 1 species
GAGUGGCGAACGGGUGAGUAAUAUAUCGGAACGUACCCGAUAGUGGGGGAUAACGUAGCGAAAGUUACGCUAAUACCGCAUACGAUCUAAGGAUGAAAGUGGGGGAUCGCAAGACCUCAUGCUCGUGGAGCGGCCGAUAUCUGAUUAGCUAGUUGGUAGGGUAAAAGCCUACCAAGGCAUCGAUCAGUAGCUGGUCUGAGAGGACGACCAGCCACACUGGAACUGAGACACGGUCCAGACUCCUACGGGAGGCAGCAGUGGGGAAUUUUGGACAAUGGGCGAAAGCCUGAUCCAGCAAUGCCGCGUGAGUGAAGAAGGCCUUCGGGUUGUAAAGCUCUUUUGUCAGGGAAGAAACGGUGAAAGCUAAUAUCUUUUGCUAAUGACGGUACCUGAAGAAUAAGCACCGGCUAACUACGUGCCAGCAGCCGCGGUAAUACGUAGGGUGCAAGCGUUAAUCGGAAUUACUGGGCGUAAAGCGUGCGCAGGCGGUUUUGUAAGUCUGAUGUGAAAUCCCCGGGCUCAACCUGGGAAUUGCAUUGGAGACUGCAAGGCUAGAAUCUGGCAGAGGGGGGUAGAAUUCCACGUGUAGCAGUGAAAUGCGUAGAUAUGUGGAGG